UACUAAUCUACUGCUACUGCUAAUAAAUAC
rnacentral:piRNA from 1 species